rnacentral:rRNA from 1 species
CCCCUAGAUGUUCUGGGCCGCACGCGCGCUACACUGAACAGUUCAACAAGUCUUAACCUUGGCCGAUAGGUCUGGGUAAUCUUUGAACGCUGCUCGUGAUUGGGAUAGACCUUUGCAAUUAUGGGUCUUCAACGAGGAAUUCCUAGUAAACGCAAGUCAUCAGCUUGCAUUGAUUACGUCCCUGCCCUUUGUACACACCGCCCGUCGCACCUACCGAUUGAAUGGUCCGGUGAAAUCUCGGGACGGCGGCUCGGUCGCUUGCGUCCGACUGCUGAAACUUGAUUAAACCAUAUCAUUUAGAGGAAGGUGAAGUCGUAACA